CUUCUCUCCCCAUUGCCGCCGCACGCCCCCGCGCAGGCUGACACCCCGUUCCCCCCGCGCCGACACCCAUUGCCGCCGCACGCCCCGCGCACGCCGACACCCCGCGCUGACCUGCAUGUCGCCGCGCUUCCAUCGCCCUGGCCUGCCCGACGCGAUUUGGGCCGCCCCAAUGGCUUAGGACGGUACGCCUGGACUCUGCCCAAGCGACCGCGCCGCCGCACUGCCCGACAUGAUUUGGGCAGCCCCACGCCGCCGCAUUACACAGCGCUGACGCCGCAGCGCUGCACUAGCCGCCGAGUGCGCCGCGAGCGAUACACUGUCGACGCUGCACUUGUUGUCCGUCUGCACCCAGCCCGACCGCGUCCUGAUCACCCAAGACCAAAUAUGUAGGUCUGGCAAAGGAUUUUGGCGGAGGCAUUUUAGAGUUAGCCUCAAAUCUUUGAGGAAGCCGAUGCAAGAUGAAAUGGAGCAUGAUGGUGCUUUUUCUUAUCAGAAUAUGUUCGUCCUUUCGAUGCUAUGUAUAUGCUUUUAUCUAAUCAAUUGCUCCUGCAGCUCUGUAGGCUAUGUAAACUGCUCUUUCUUAGUAGGAUGUCAGAUAGGUACACUUCCAGGCGCUUAAGCUGGAACACGUAUGUAGUUUAUGCACAAUGAGUGUACAUAAUAUCUCUAUAUGUAUUUCCAUAACAAUAAAGCAUAUUGAUUAAUCUGAACCCUGCACUUUUUUGUUAUCACCAUUCUGGCUAUUCUUGCUUGGUCUAAACAUUGCUGCAUAGAAUCUGUUUACAUUCUCAGUUAUGACAAAAUGGUUCGUUGUCUACCUGAGCAACAGGUUUGAUGACACAAAUGCAGAUGCUGAAAAGAACUAAUUAUGUACAUAGAUCACAUUUAGGACAUAGUACAGCGCAUGGGGUGGUAGCUCUUCAAAGAUACAUAUACAGGCAUUGAGGCAACUAUAGCAGAUGUGGAGUUCUAGGUUCGUUCUAUAUUUUUGGAGCACACAUGUCCAUGGAAGACCUAUGAUUAUCUGAUGUGAGCACAUCUCUGAAGGUAAUCUUCAACAUGAAUCGCAUAGCCUCAUUGGCUGUGAUGUUUUGAUAUUCACAUCCUGUGCUGAAUCUGCAAUAACAGUAGCGCUAGAUUCUCUUUUCUGAAGACGCUACAACUUUGCUUAGACUCUUUAUUUAAUGAUA